CUCACAUUAGGACUCGGUAGAUUUAGGUUGACUCUCCGAUCUUUGUUAAUGUAAGAGUGCGGCGUUCAGGAUCUUUAAGACAAAUCCCUAGCUGAAGACGCUACAUGUGACUCCUCUGUUUUGCUUGACCGUCGUUUUCUUUAUUGUUUUGCUUGACUGCUUUCCUUACGGGCAUUUUGCAUGGCUGAUUCGCUUACUGGCUCUGCUUUGGUUGGGUUGCUUGGUCUGUCUUUACGUGCCUCGUCUCUGCUGUGUUGCAUAUCAGCUGUACUUUGUUGCUGGUGUAAUUUUUGUUGUUUUUGUUUGUGGUUAUUUAUUAACAAUAAUACUGGUUUAGCUUGGGCGCUGUUAAACUGCCUCAUUGCCUUCGGUGUCGGUGGGCCUGAGUGUUCUAGCCACCACACCAGGGUGUCUGUAAUUUUUCUUUCCUUGCUUAUUGUUGAGUGUUUUGUGUAAUUUUGGGUUAAUGGCUGUUCUUUCUCUCCAGGAGCCAGUGAGUCUUGGUGUGGGACAGGGGAGGCUAGCUGCCUUCAUUCGGUGGUGUGCUUCACCGUGUGUGCAGACACAACAACUUCCUUAUGGUAGCUUACUGGGCAAUGCCACAUGGACUACACAGAGUACAUAUAAAGAUGGUGAAACAUUACUUCACUUUCAGUGGAGUGAAGUGGUGAAGGCUCUGGGUUAUGAAUCGGAAAGGUCGGAGGUUCAAGCCUCGGCGCUACCAAACCACCACUGUUGGGCCUCUGAGCGACGCCCUUAACCCUCUCUGCAGAGGUGCCUUACCCCUCUCCAAAUCGGCCGGACCCUGUGCUCUGACCCUGGGGUAUGCAAAGAAAAGAAUUUCACUGUGCUGUGAUCAAUACUCAUUAUCAUGAACAUUGUCUACAUGUGUUGCACAGAAUCUGUUUGUUUGUGUGUAAGGUUAACGGUUGUGACUGAUCUAUGGCGUCUUACGUUGUUCACCUCAAAUAUCAACUCUUCCGGAAACUGUCUGCCUACACGAAGACUGUAACAGGUUCUCAGUCUAUAUGGGGCUGUUUUUGCUCAUGCUGGUCAUUUUAAUACAUCUCGUGUGGCCAUUGUUUGACUUCCUGCAGUUCUCCACUGAAUGCCCUCAUUUGGGAUGACACUGUAAAUAUCCUCGAGCCACGAGCUCCAUCUGCAACCAAGCACACAUAGCUGUGUCAAGGACAGCAACAGCAAAGAAGAUAAUGGUGUAGCUCAUAAACAGAUCAUCAACUUGUGAGAUUUUGGGUGGAGGGAUGGACAGAUGGACGUGUGGAUGGACAACAGCUUUACUAUUGGACUGUUACACCGCUCUGGCACUGGAGACUCCUUCCAAAAAUGCUCAAUAAAUGGAAAUGUCACAGAAAGCUUCACCAUAUCAACAAUUACACACAUUUAUGUGGAACGUCUGCAAUACCAGUCCCUGUAUAUGUUUUUACUGUUCAGUAUUAUAUAACAUAUUUGAAUGAGAGCAUUAAUUACGAUGUAUAAAUAAACUACACAGAUGGGUCAUUUUUUUUUGUUUGUUUUUUUUUAAUGGAAAAUCAGUCAGCACCUUCUGACCAAUUAGCAUCCAGAAUGCAACAGUGCUAUGCUGUGGUAUAAAAUUAGAAUAAGCAAACAGACAUUCUGUAACAGGGAUGCAGGGAGCAUUAGCUCAACAAUACACUUACAGCCCCCUCCGCUAAUAUUGGCACCCUUGGUAAAUAUGAGCAAAGAAGGCUGUGAAAAAUUGUCUUUAUUGUUUAUCCUUCUUGUUAAAAUAAUUCACAAAAAUACUCUGCUCUCAUGGAUAGCAAACAAUUCCAAACACAUGUUUAUCCAAAGAAAAAAAAAUCUUUGUUAAAUAUAGGUAAAGGCCAUUUUUCACAGCCUUCUUGCUCAUAUUUACCCAGGGUGCGGAUAUUCGUGGAGGGCAGUAAUAAUAGAGUUGCCAUGUAAUAUGGAGCUGAAUCGCUGAUUGCCUGUGGUUCCUGUUCAGGUGUGACCUAUAGUGACCUACAUAAAUAUAAGACUGAAUCAGAAACCAAACAAAAUGGCUUCCAACUCAAAGGUCAUGGAGGUGCACGGUGAGCUGUGUGGUGUGAAGCUGGGUGAUUACCAGCUGACUGAGUAAAAUUAAUUCCCAUUAUGCGAUUAUAAAGAAAUCCUCCGAAUGAAUCUGUGCUCAUGCAGAAAUGAAUGCCUGGUGAUAAUGCUGAAAGAUUCAUCCAGUGCGAGAAUGACUCCAUAUGUCACCUUGAGGACCAUCCAGGGUCCAUUAUAUGAUAAUUGGGUCACUUGUCUUCCUGCUGAAUCCUUUUUCUUUUUUUCUUUUCUUUUCUUUUUAUAAAGUUUUCCCAAUCAUUGGUCUAGAACAUGGCUGAGUGUCACGUAUAGCCUGGCAGCUACAGUAUAGUGACUGCAGCACUUCUCAUAUUACUGACUGUUAUUUUCUAUUUGAAUAAAAUUUGUCAUUCAAACAGUUGUGUAGGACUUUGAAGACUAUCUCUUUUUUUUUGUUUUAACUUCAGACAUAUGAUCCGUUAAACGCUACUUUAUUUAACAAGUCCA
ensembl:lncRNA